rnacentral:rRNA from 1 species
AACGAACGCUGGCGGCAGGCUUAACACAUGCAAGUCGAACGCCCCGCAAGGGGAGUGGCAGACGGGUGAGUAACGCGUGGGAACCUACCCAAAGGUACGGAACAACCAAGGGAAACUUUGGCUAAUACCGUAUACGCCCUACGGGGGAAAGAUUUAUCGCCUUUGGACGGGCCCGCGUUGGAUUAGGUAGUUGGUGGGGUAACGGCCUACCAAGCCGACGAUCCAUAGCUGGUCUGAGAGGAUGAUCAGCCACACUGGGACUGAGACACGGCCCAGACUCCUACGGNNGGCAGCAGUGGGGANUCUUGGACAAUGGGGGAAACCCUGAUCCAGCCAUGCCGCGUGAGUGAAGAAGGCCUUAGGGUUGGAAAGCUCUUUCGGCGGGGACGAUAAUGACGGUACCCGCAGAAGAAGCCCCGGCUAACUCCGUGCCAGCCGCCGCUGUAAUA